rnacentral:snRNA from 1 species
GGAUGUAAGGACAUUCUGGCUGUGACAUCUGUCACUUCACUGUUUGCCAGAGUUGAUUCGGCUGAUCUGGCUGGCUAGGUGGGUGUCCCCUUCCUCCCUCACCACCUCCUGGGUGUCCCUCCAGAAACUGCACACUUGGUCAAAGACGACCAUCCCCAAUAAAGGAGGACUGGUCUUCAGUCAAGGGUAUACAAGUAGCUGCACUCUUCUGCUAGAACCUCCAGACAAGCUCUCAAUAAGAUGUAUUUGAUAUUCUUAUAUUCAGUAAGUUUAUAUGUAAUAAUAUAUCU